rnacentral:lncRNA from 1 species
AGCUAACAGUAUAGCUGUAUUUGUUUAUAAUUCAUUAUAUCAUAAAUAAUCUGCAAUUCAAACUGAGUGAUGUGACUCGAGAACAUUUCGAGACUUCUUAGGUCACAUGAGUGGAAACAGAGGCUAAUGUUAUCAGAUGUUGUUCGAGCCAGAAGCUGCUAGCCUAGCUAACUGCUAUUGAAGACCAUCCUAGGGGGACAGCUACAACAACAAAGAAGAGGCUAUAAACCAUCACAGUCGUUGUAUGUGUUCUUCAAAACUUGGCAACGCUGGUUGAAUGUUGACCACGGUUAAGAUAAUGACCGACACGAAACAUAGACACAUGUGACCAAGCAGCUAAUGUCUAUAGCACAUGAUCCUGGCCAACUGGAGGCUUCAAUAAUUCACGGGUUUCAGAAUAUCUACACUGAGUAGUAAAGGUAAAUCUGGCUCCUAAAAAUACCUUUUUUUAAACAUUUUUAAAUAGGUGAAACAAAACAGAUUUGAAAAACCUGAAGGUUAUUGUGCGACAGUUGUUAGUUACACAUUACAUCCUGUCCCCUAGGUCCUAUUUUCCAGAGGAAGAG